rnacentral:rRNA from 1 species
CCUACGGGUGGCAGCAGUGAGGAAUAUUGGUCAAUGGCCGGAAGGCUGAACCAGCCAAGCCGCGUGCAGGAAGAAGGCUCCAUGCAUUGUAAACUUCUUUUGUCAGGGGAUAAACGCAGGCUCGCGUGCCUGUCUGAAGGUACCUUAAGAAUAAGCAUCGGCUAACUCCGUGCCAGCAGCCGCGGUAAUACGGAGGAUUCGAGCGUUAUCCGGAUUUAUUGGGUUUAAAGGGUGCGUAGGCGGGCUGUUAAGUUAGCGGUGAAACCCCGGGGCUCAACCCCGGCAGAGCCGUUGAAACUGGCUGGCUUGAGAGGUGGUGCGGUAGGCGGAAUGCGUGGUGUAGCGGUGUAAUGCUUAGAUAU